GAACGCGAAGAACCUUACCAGGUCUUGACAUCCUUUGACAAUCCUAGAGAUAGGACUUUCCCUUCGGGGACAAAGUGACAGGUGGUGCAUGGUUGUCGUCAGCUCGUGUCGUGAGAUGUUGGGUUAAGUCCCGCAACGAGCGCAACCCCUAUUGUUAGUUGCCAGCAUUCAGUUGGGCACUCUAAUGAGACUGCCGGUGACAAACCGGAGGAAGGUGGGGAUGACGUCAAAUCAUCAUGCCCCUUAUGUCCAGGGCUACACACGUGCUACAAUGGUCGGUACAAAGUGACGCGAAGCCGCGAGGUGAAGCAAAUCGCAGAAAGCCGGCCUUAGUUCGGAUUGGAGUCUGCAACUCGACUCCGUGAAGUUGGAAUCGCUAGUAAUCGUGGAUCAGCAUGCCACGGUGAAUACGUUCCCGGGUCUUGUACACACCG
rnacentral:rRNA from 1 species